rnacentral:rRNA from 1 species
UACGUAGGGGGCAAGCGUUGUCCGGAUUCAUUGGGCGUAAAGCGCGUGUAGGCGGCCAGGUAGGUCCGGUGUGAAAACUCGAGGCUCAACCUCGAGAGGUCAUCGGAAACCAUCUGGCUAGAGUCCGGAAGAGGAGAGUGGAAUUCCCGGUGUAGCGGUGAAAUGCGUAGAUAUCGGGAAGAACACCAGUGGCGAAAGCGCUCUACUGGGCCAUGACUGACACUGAGGGACGAAAGCUAGGGGAGCGAAAGGG